rnacentral:rRNA from 1 species
CCUACGGGGUGCAGCAGUGAGGAAUAUUGGUCAAUGGUCGGGAGACUGAACCAGCCAAGCCGCGUGAGGGAUGAAGGUACAGAGUAUCGUAAACCUCUUUUGUCAGGGAACAAAGGCGGGGACGUGUCCCCGGAUGAGUGUACCUGAAGAAAAAGCAUCGGCUAACUCCGUGCCAGCAGCCGCGGUAAUACGGAGGAUGCGAGCGUUAUCCGGAUUUAUUGGGUUUAAAGGGUGCGAAGGCGGUCUGUUAAGUCCGUGGUCAAAGUCCGGGGCUCAACCCCGGCCCGCCGUUGAAACUGGCAGUCUCGAGUUGGAGAGAAGUAUGCGGAAUGCGCGGUGUAGCGGUGAAAUGCAUAGAUAUCGCGCAGAACUCCGAUUGCGAAGGCAGCAUGCCGGCUCCACACUGACGCUGAGGCACGAAAGCGUGGGUAUCGAACAGGAUUAGAUACCCCGGUAGUC